rnacentral:rRNA from 1 species
GAGUUUGAUCCUGGCUCAGGAUUAACGCUGGCGGCGUGCCUAACACAUGCAAGUCGAACGCUCUUCGGAGAGUGGCGGACGGCUGAGUAACGCGUUGGUACCUACCCCGAACAUGGGGAUAAGCCCGGGAAACCGGGUCUAAUACCCAAUAGUUCUCCUCGGAGUAAAGCUUUUGCGGUUCGGGAGGGGCCUGCGUCCGAUUAGUUUGUUGGUGAGGUAAUGGCUCACCAAGACUAUGAUCGGUAGGUGGUCUGAGAGGAUGAUCACCCAGACUGGGACUGACACACGGCCCAGACUCCUACGGGAGGCAGCAGUGAGGAAUCUUGCACAAUGGGGGAAACCCUGAUGCAGCAACGCCGCGUGGGGGAAGAAGGCCUUCGGGUUGUAAACUCCUUUUAUACGGGACGAACAUUGACGGUACCGUACGAAUAAGGGCCGGCUAACCACGUGCCAGCAGCCGCGGUAAUACGUGGGGCCCGAGCGUUAUCCGGAUUUACUGGGCGUAAAGCGUGCGUAGGCGUCUUCGUAAGUCUUCGGUGAAAUCCCUCGGCUCAACUGAGGAACUGUCGAAGAUACUGCGAAGAUUUGAGUACGACAGGGGCAGAUGGAAUUCCUGGUGAAGGGGUAAAAUCCGUUGAUAUCAGGAAGAACACCAAUGGCGAAGGCAAUCUGCUGGGUCGUGACUGACGCUGAGGCACGAAAGCGUGGGUAGCGAACGGGAUUAGAUACCCCGGUAGUCCACGCUGUAAACGAUGGGUACUAGGCAUUCGGGGAAUAGACCCCCUGGGUGUCGAAGCUAACGCGUUAAGUACCCCGCCUGGGGAGUACGAUCGCAAGAUUAAAACUCAAAGGAAUUGACGGGGACCCGCACAAGCGGUGGAGCGUGUGGUUUAAUUCGACGCUAAGCGAA